rnacentral:rRNA from 1 species
GACGAACGCUGGCGGCGUGCUUAACACAUGCAAGUCGAACGGAAAGGCCCUGCUUUUGUGGGGUGCUCGAGUGGCGAACGGGUGCGUAACACGUGAGUAACCUGCCCUUGACUUUGGGAUAACUUCAGGAAACUGGGGCUAAUAUCGGAUAGGAGCUCCCGCUCCAUGGUGGGCGUUGGAUCGUUUCGGCGGUUGGGGAUGGACUAGCGGCUUAUCAGCUUGCUGGUGGGGUAGUGGCUUACCAAGGCUUUGACGGGUCGCCGGCCUGAGAGGGUGACCGGCCACAAGGGGACUGAGAUACGGCCCAGACUCCAACGGUAGGCAGCAGUGGGGAAUAUUGCACAGUGGGCGGGAGCCUGAUGCAGCAGCGCCGCGUGCGGGAUGACGGCCUGCGGGUAGUAAACCGCUGUCGCCUGUGACGAAGCGUGAGUGACGGUAAUGGGUAAAGAAGCACCGGCUAACUACGUG